CAAGGCAUAGCUUAAACAAAGCACCUAGUUUACACCUAGAAGAUUUCACACACUAUGAAUGCCUUGA
rnacentral:tRNA from 1 species